AGGACGAACGCUGGCGGCGUGCUUAACACAUGCAAGUCGAGCGAGGCUCCUCCUUCGGGAGGAUGCCCUAGCGGCGAACGGGUGAGUAACACGUGGGCAACCUGCCCCUAGCACUGGGAUAACCCCGGGAAACCGGGGCUAAUACCGGAUACGACUUCGGAAGGCAUCUUCUGAAGUGGAAAAGGUUACUGGCUAGGGAUGGGCCCGCGGCCUAUCAGCUUGUUGGUGGGGUAAUGGCCCACCAAGGCGACGACGGGUAGCCGGCCUGAGAGGGCGACCGGCCACACUGGGACUGAGACACGGCCCAGACUCCUACGGGAGGCAGCAGUGGGGAAUAUUGCACAAUGGGCGAAAGCCUGAUGCAGCGACGCCGCGUGAGGGAUGACGGCCUUCGGGUUGUAAACCUCUUUCAGCAGGGACGAAGCGAAAGUGACGGUACCUGCAGAAGAAGCACCGGCCAACUACGUGCCAGCAGCCGC
rnacentral:rRNA from 1 species